AACGUAGGAGACAAACGUUAUCCGGAGUUACUGGGCGUAAAGGGCGUGUAGGUGGUUGUGUAAGUCUGGCGUGAAAUUUUUCGGCUUAACCGGGAAAGGUCGUCGGAUACUGCAGAACUAGAGGACGGUAGAGGCGUGUGGAAUUCCGGGUGUAGUGGUGAAAUGCGCAGAUAUCAGGAGGAACACCAAUUGCGAAGGCAGCUCGCUGGGACGUUACUGACGCUGAGACGCGAAAGCGUGGGGAGCAAACAGG
rnacentral:rRNA from 1 species